AGAAUGAUUCUGAACAGGCGGCUGCCGGAGGCAGUUCUGCCGGGCUUGCGCAUGUAGGCAGCAGGUGCUUUAUGAAAAAUAAGCCUGCGGGACAGAC
rnacentral:ncRNA from 1 species